CGCGUAGGCGGCCUGGUAAGUCUGGAGUGAAAGUCCUGCUUUUAAGGUGGGAAUUGCUUUGGAUACUGUCGGGCUUGAGUGCAGGAGAGGUAAGUGGAAUUCCCGGUGUAGCGGUGAAAUGCGUAGAGAUCGGGAGGAACACCAGUGGCGAAGGCGACUUACUGGACUGUAACUGACGCUGAGGCGCGAAAGUGUGGGGAAGCAAACA
rnacentral:rRNA from 1 species